UCUGGCCUGCGAAUGGCACUGGAAGAAUUCACGGGGUUAUAAUUCGCGCCCGUGGACUUUGAGUGCCAUCCACAGAGCCAG
rnacentral:pre_miRNA from 1 species